AUGCUAUAUGUUGGUAUAUCGAACUCCAAUAAAAAAUAUACAAGAAGAAGAAGAAGAAGAAGAAGGAAAGAAAAAGAAGAAGAAAAGAAGAAAGAAGAAAGAAGAAGAAGAAGGAAGAAGAAAGAAGAAGAAAAAGAAGAAAGAAGAAGGAAUAAGAAGGAAGAAGAAAAGAAGAAAGAAGAAAGAAGAAGGAAGAAGAAGAAGAAAGAAGGAAUAAGAAGGAAGAAGGAAGGAAGAAGGAAGAAGAAAGAAGAAGAAGAAGAAGAAGAAGAAGAAGAAGAAGAAGAAGAAGAAAGGAAGAAGAAAGAAGAAGAAAAGGAAGAAGAAAAAGGAAGAAGAAGAAAGAAAGAAGAAGAAGAAGAAGAAGAAGAAGAAGAAGAAGGAAGAAAAGGAAGAAGAAAAGAAGAAGAAGAAGAAAAGAAGAAGAAGAAGGAGAAGAAGAAGAAAGAAAGAAAGAAAGAAAGAAAGAAAGAAAGAAAGAAAGAAGAAGAAGGAGGAGGAGGAGGAGAAGGAGAAGAAAAGAAGAAGAAGAAGAAGAAGAAGAAGAAGAAGAAGAAGAAGAAGAAGAAGAAGAAGAAGAAAGAGAAGGAGAAGGAGAAGGAAGGGAGAAGGAGGGGAGAGGGAGAGGGAGAGGGAGGAGAGGGAGAAGGAGGGGGAGAGGGAGAGGGAGAGGGAGAGGGAGAAGGAGAAGGAGAAGGAGAAAGAGAAGAAAGAAGAAAGAAGAAGACGACGACGACGGUGCAGAAGUCGUUGGUGACCUGGGCCCCGCGACUGGCCCCCCCGCUGCUCCGGGAGGUGGAGCUACAGGCCGGGGCCACCCCGCACCCCGGGCCCAGCCUCCUCUCUGCGCCUGCUCCCGCGCCUCCUCCGCUUGGCGCCAAAGGGCCCUUCCCCCAAGCCCCCCUGCAUUGGAGGGGCGGGUGCUCCGGGGCCCCCGAGCCCGAGCCCAGCGGCAGCCUGUCCCUUACCUUCUCCGGGGAGUCUCACAGUGGGGGAGGCGGCUGCUGGCGCCUGCGGGUCCUCGGCCGGUGCUGCAACCCCAAGGAGGCGCGGCGCGCAGAGGACGGGGCCGCGACCCGCAGGACCGCAGCUGGGAGCCCCGGCGGCUGCCCAGGGCACGGCGGCCGCAGGAGACAGGCGUCCCGUGGGACCUGCGGCCUCCGCCAAGGCCAAGACCUCGCACUGCGGCGCCCUGAGGCCACGCAGCGCUGCGCCAGGCCGCCCACCCGGGGCGUGCAGCCCCCGACGGGGACAGGCGCGGGGCCAUCUCGGGUGCCCGGAGAGGCCGCAGCCCCUUGGGGUCGCCGGGGUAAAGGAGCCGUUCCGGGGUCCCGGCAGGGAAGGCGCCCCGGGCGGCGAGGCGGGGAAGGUCACGGGAUCCCGGCUACGUCGGGGGGCGAGCAAGCAGUUCAGGCUUCUGGCCCAGCAGUUCCGGGGGGGGGGGGGUGGUGGUGGUGGUGCCCGCAUCCCUGCUCCCGACCGUCAGCCAGAGCCCCGGGGCCUGGGGCCGCAGUCUGGGGCCCAGCUGACCGCUCCGGGGAUGCCUUUGCGCCCUUGGGCUCCAGCUCCUCAGGGCCCCACGCCUUGCUCCGGUCAACUCCCGUCCUCUCUCAGCGCCUCUGGGCCUUCAGCCACCUCUUUGUGCAUCUGCCUCCACCCCCUUAG
rnacentral:lncRNA from 1 species